GUGACAGCAGCCGCGGUAAUACGUAGGGGGCGAGCGUUGUCCGGAUUUAUUGGGCGUAAAGAGCUCGUAGGCGGUUUGGUAAGUCGGAUGUGAAAUCUCCAGGCUCAACCUGGAGGGGUCAUUCGAGACUGCUAUGACUAGAGUUCGGUAGAGGAGUGUGGAAUUCCUGGUGGAGCGGUGAAAUGCGCAGAUAUCAGGAGGAACACCCGUAGCGAAGGCGGCACUCUGGGCCGAUACUGACGCUGAGGAGCGAAAGCGUGGGGAGCGAACAGGAUUAGAAACCCGGGUAGUCC
rnacentral:rRNA from 1 species